GACGAACGCUGGCGGCGUGCUUAACACAUGCAAGUCGAACGGAAAGGCCCUGCUUUUGUGGGGUGCUCGAGUGGCGAACGGGUGAGUAACACGUGAGUAACCUGCCCUUGACUUUGGGAUAACUUCAGGAAACUGGGGCUAAUACCGGAUAGGAGCUCCUGCUGCAUGGUGGGGGUUGGAAAGUUUCGGCGGUUGGGGAUGGACUCGCGGCUUAUCAGCUUGUUGGUGGGGUAGUGGCUUACCAAGGCUUUGACGGGUAGCCGGCCUGAGAGGGUGACCGGCCACAAUGGGACUGAGAGAGGGCCCAGACUGCAACGGGAGGCAGCAGGGGAGAAUAGUGCACAAUGGGCGGAAGCCUGAUGAAGCAACGCCGCGUGCGGGAUGACGGCCUUCGGGUUGUAAACCGAUUUCGCCUGUGACGAAGCGGGAGUGACGGUAAUGGGUAAAGAAGCACCGGCUAACUACGUG
rnacentral:rRNA from 1 species